rnacentral:rRNA from 1 species
AGCGAACGCUGGCGGCAGGCUUAACACAUGCAAGUCGAGCGGGCAUCUUCGGAUGUCAGCGGCAGACGGGUGAGUAACACGUGGGAACGUACCCUUCGGUUCGGAACAACUCUGGGAAACUGGAGCUAAUACCGGAUACGCCCUUAUGGGGAAAGGUUUACUGCCGAAGGAUCGGCCCGCGUCUGAUUAGCUAGUUGGUGGGGUAACGGCCUACCAAGGCGACGAUCAGUAGCUGGUCUGAGAGGAUGAUCAGCCACACUGGGACUGACACACGGCCCAGACUCCUACGGGAGGCAGCAGUGGGGAAUAUUGGACAAUGGGCGCAAGCCUGAUCCAGCCAUGCCGCGUGAGUGAUGAAGGCCUUAGGGUUGUAAAGCUCUUUUGUCCGGGACGAUAAUGACGGUACCGGAAGAAUAAGCCCCGGCUAACUUCGUG